GACGAACCGUGCGAACGUUGUUCGGAAUCACUGGGCUUAAAGGGCGCGUAGGCGGUCUGUCAAGUCAGGGGUGAAAGCCUCCAGCUUAACUGGAGAAGUGCCUUUGAUACUGGUGGACUCGAGUGAGGUAGGGGUAGUGGGAACUUCCGGUGGAGCGGUGAAAUGCGUUGAUAUCGGAAGGAACGCCGGUGGCGAAAGCGCACUACUGGACCUCUUCUGACGCUGAGGCGCGAAAGCCAGGGGAGCAAACGGG
rnacentral:rRNA from 1 species